rnacentral:tRNA from 1 species
GCCUGACUGGCUCAGUCGGUAGAGCAUGUGACUCUUGAUCUUGGGGUCAUGAGUUCAAGCCCCAUGUUGCA